UACGUAGGGGGCAAGCGUUGUCCGGAAUUAUUGGGCGUAAAGAGCGCGUAGGCGGUCCGAUAAGUCGGCUGUGAAAGUCCAGGGCUCAACCGAGGAACUGCAUCCGAUACUGGCGGGCUUGAAUCCGGGAGAGGGAUGUGGAAUUCCAGGUGUAGCGGUGAAAUGCGUAGAUAUCUGGAGGAACACCGGUGGCGAAGGCGGCAUCCUGGACCGGUAUUGACGCUGAGGCGCGAAAGCUAGGGGAGCAAACGGGG
rnacentral:rRNA from 1 species